rnacentral:rRNA from 1 species
GACGAACGCUGGCGGCGUGCUUAACACAUGCAAGUCGAGCGGAGCGGCGAACGGGUGAGUAAAGCGUGAGUAACUGCCCCCCUCUCUGGGAUAACAGUUGGAAACGGCUGCCAAUACCGGAUAGUGGGGGUUGACUCGCGUCCUAUUAGCAUGUUGGUGGGGUAGUGGCCUACCAAGGCGACGACGGGUAGCCGGCCUGAGAGGGCGACCGGCCACCUUGGGCUGAGAUACGGCCCAAACUCCAACGGGGGGCAGCAGUGGUGAAUAUUGGACAAUGGGGGAAACCGUGAUGCAGCAACGCCGGGUGCGGGAUGACGGCCUUCUGGUGGUAAACGGCUUUCAGCCAUGACGCGGUAGUGGCAGAAGAAGCACCGGCUAACUACGUGCCAGCAGCAGCGGUAAUUC